CUACGAACUGUAGCUAGAUUGUUAUGGCACCGAAAACUACACACUUGGUUGAUAUAUCAGUCAGUUUUCAAGUAUAAACAAAUCUAUAUCCUCCUAAAAGCUUUCUAUACAUAUGAUUUUAAAAGGUAUUGUAACUUCAUUGUGUAAACUUGUAUAUAAAGCUGUGCAUGUGGAUGACAACGUUUUACUGACGUGGAUAGCUGCGAUCAUUAGCUAACUUAAUAUAAUUCUGUAAUCAAUAUAGUCACGCAAAGUGUUAUAAUUUUUUAAUACAAUAUAGCUUUGGAUAAACUGACAGCCGGGAAGGUAUAUAGAACGACAACAUAUAUAGUUUCAUGAUAUAUGCAUGUAGAAAGAAUAGUUUUUGCCAAUUUUGCCGUUAAAAACUGAAUUAUAUGGAUCGAUAGAUAUACACAUGCGAUAUAAAUCCUAUAUAGAUCACUGUAUAUAACUGAUUUAAUCUUCUGACGAAAGACCUUUUAUAUAUAUUAAUAUAGCAUAUGAAUCUCAAUAUAGUGAACUGUAAAAUGCAUUCUUGAAUCUUGGUAAAACAAUAUCCAUUAUAAUUCGGGUGUGGUUAUAGAAAAUAUCACUGCAUGGUCACACAAAAAUUACUCUAGUCUAUCUAUGGUCUAUCUAAAGGUCGAUUUACACAACACAACUUUUGCCUAAAACUGUCGUAUGCAACCUGCUUACAACUUGCGUCGUACUGCAUGUGUAAAUCGAGCACAGAACUACCCUAUAUAUAUAUAUAUAUAUAUAACCAACAAUGAGAUGAUGGAUGUGGGACACAUAAAUUAUAUAUGUAAUUAUAAAUUAUAUAUAAAUUAUAUAGGCCUUUGCGCUGAUUUAAAUCUGUGACAUGCAGAGAUCAUGCAAAAUUUAUUAAAAUUUUGUUUCCAACUUGAAGUUUUAUAUAAAUGAAGUUUUUUGGGUAUAGAGAACAAUAACUAGAUUAGAAGUACAUCACUCGCAUCAAUCAUCAAUCAUCAAACCUAUAUACUGCAUAUGACUGCUCCAUGUAACAAUAUCAGGCAACCUUAUAUUUAACUGUAUGUAUAAUACUAUAGUAACAACAGGCGUAGAAACGUAAAGCGACCUGAUGCACUAAAAAAUUAUACAAUUUACUAUGAAAAUAAACAUGCCAACAUAAUUCUUAUGCGGCUGUGACACAUGCAGGCUAACUUAAAACAGAAGUGCAUGCAUAUAUCGUAAAGCAUGGUUUACACUAGCUAUCAAAGUUUCUGUGAUCACAGUAUAGAAUUUUGCAUGGGUAAAUUCUAACGUCAGUUCCUCAAAAACUUCCUACAAACCCUUCAAAACUUAGAAUUUACGUAUAUAUAUGCAAAAUUCUAUACUGCAUGUGAUUACAGAAACUUUGAUUGAUGUUAUCCUGCAAAUAAAUGACAUUUAAAAAAAAACAUUUUCUCCAGGUCAAGUUGGAGGAAAUUGGACAAACUUAAGAUAAAAAACCGGAAAUUCACAUAAAACAUUGAUAAAACGUUGUUUUUGAUUGUUCUGCUUAUAAUUACCUGAAACUGUUGUCAAAACACGAUAAGGGGAAGUUCAGGCACGCAUGGUACGUCUGAAUCGUGAUCAAAAUACAAUACGAACUUACGGCUAUAUAACAUCGAGAUCACUGCUCUACGAUUCAAUAAUCAUCAUCCUUAUUUGUUAUCUCUAAUUUGGAACACAAGUUCUACAAGCAAGAGGCUUUAAGAUUCAGACAACCUGCAUAUAAGCAUAACCUAUGUGUAUAUUGUGUGCGUCAGUUGUGAAUAACAUGUAUUAAUGUGACAACAUUCGCUGUAUAAGUAAGUAUACAACACAUUUCUUCAUUUUCCGUCUUUUAGAAUGAAUUACCUAGAACUUUAAGCUUUCAAGACGAAUUUUUUGAACUUGGUAAAAAACAAUUUUUACUCUUGACAUUCUUUAUUUAUACUGUAUAUCAUCGUUGCAAAUAAAAUGAUAUACUGUAGUAUUUUACUCGUAAAUUAGUGUUACCCUCGUGAAAUAAAGUUUUUAUCUUAUCUUACCUUUUCUUCAUUGUGCGAUCGAUGGAGAACAAUUAUUAAAAUCAGGUUUCUGAAGAAUAAAGAAGAAAAUAUGCUCAUAAGAAAAUUUAUUAUUCGGCCACUUCGGUUUUGACAAUCAUUGACGCAUGAUUUUAUAACUCAUCGUUAUUAUGUUAAGGCAAAAUGAGGCAGUAUAUACAAAGAAAUUCACGGAAUUAAUAAGACACAUAUAUAAAUGUAUAAACUGUGUGCAGUGAUCACUGCUUAGGGCGGCAUGUUUAAAGCCAUGCAGUUAACUUGAUAUAGGUAAACGUAAAGCUUCAAAGCAAUUUUCCCAGCAGCUUGUUUAUAAACAUGGAAUAUUUUUCCCAGAAAUCUUGUCUGGACUAAUACCGUAAAUAUAAGCCCCUCGUGUAUAAGCCCGCCAUUAUUCACAAGCUCAGGCCAUUCCGAAUAUACCCCCGAAUACGCCCCUCUAUAUACAAGGCUUAUUAUUGGACAGUUAAGGCUCAGACGAGUGACUAUAUAAUUACAUUACAGGGUGAUGGGUUAGGCACAUAGUCAUAGCCGACAUAGGUUAGGGAGCAAAUCAUUGAUGAGGUAUGGACUAAUAGCGGCUGCUUAAAGCACCAUUUGUAUAAGCUCACAGUUUAAGGUGGUUUAUUAUUUAUAUAGUUUUAGUUUAUAACCAUACACAUUGCAAGUCAACCUGCAGUUGACCCGCCUUCCGAAGUUUGCAUAUUUUGUAUAUGUUUGUAUUACGUGCGGAAAUCGUUGCCAUUUUUGAGCCGAAAAUGGUUUCAAUUUCCGCACGUAAUACAAACAUAUACAAAAUUCGCAAACUUUGCAAGACUAUAUUUUCCAAGCUUUACAACAUUUCGCAACCGAAUUUUGCAAUUUUAUUAAUUUAAUUAUAUGUUCUUUUUAGCUGUGGUGUUUGAUUCCCUUCGCUUUACUUAGAUCAGUAAAAUUUAGUCUAACAUGCAAGUUGUCCAUUAACAGGACAAACAUUAUUAAAUGCAGGUUGUGAAAGGUAUACCCAAAGAAAGUCAAUGAUGAAUUUUGUGUAUAUAGCAAGCACGAGUUGAGUGCAUGCUACUAUAAGGUUUCAAACCAACGCAGUACCCGCCCAAGAAAUUAGUCGCUCACUAUAACUCAGGAACACUUAAAAAAUUCUUAACUACAAUAUUUCUCGAGUUGCAGUAUUUAAGUACGAUGUCAGGACAAGUGUCAUGUGGAGUAGAUAAAAUAAUUACUAUACCCUUAUAGAUAUAGGAUUUAGCGGCAAACCUGCUGUCACGGCAUGUGUCAUAACAAGAGUAGAAAUACGGUCUUUGUUAAAAAGGAAAUAUGCUGAACUCAUGACGGGUAUUUAUAGAUUAUAGUUCAUUAUAGCAGUUAUAUCGAGUGAUAGAUGACCAAAAUCCCGAUAUAUUUACCCGCACGCAGACAUUGGCAACACCUUGUAGUAUUUAUACAUGCAUGAACUUACGAUAUUUGCCCUACAGUUUCAAAUAAAGAGGAGUAACAUGAUUGUCACGUGACGUGAUGAAACCAAAACUUGGAACGCUUGCAAUAUUCAGGGUGAAGACCGGGUCAUUCAGUAAUUUGUUCAAACAAUUUUGACCCAUGUGAAGAUGUUUACAGAGCUAUUAAUGCUUAAAGCAUCGGAAUGAACUCAUUAACAUUCAUACUCGCAUUCAUUAGUUUGGCUUUAAAAUACACAUAAAAUAUAGUCAGUCUUUAUACUGACUAUUUUCACUCAUUUUCACAGAAUACUCUCUUAAUAUUCUUGCAUCAACCUAUACCGUCAUUUUUAAAUGAAGGCUUUCAUUGUAAUCCAUUCAUCGAUAUUGAACUCUUUAACAUUCCUUAACUUAAGCUUAAAAACAUACAAAAUACUUUUGAAAUAUAUAUUUGAAGUGACAGUGACUAUCGGUAUUGAACUCUUUAACAUUACAAAGAGAAACAAAUAGAAAAUAAUCAUGAUAUUUUGCUGUGUUGGUAUAAUGUACUUAGGUGAAUAAGAUGUUAGUGUGAUGUUACUCUGAGUGUAUAUCCACACCGGGCAGGCUUGAAAAAUAUAUGCCUGGCCAUCGAACGUGGUGGGAAUCGGAACUUCGGAACUGAGUCUAGUUCCUUCGAUAUCAGUGUAAUCUAAUAAUUGGCCAGGCAUAUCUGCAUGGCCAGGCAUAUUUUUCAAGCUUGCCCGGUGUGGAUAUACACUCAGAGUAGCAUCACACAAGCAAAUAGAAAAUAGUUUUGAAGUAAAUUGACCUAUGACUGAACAUAUAGAAUACAUUUUAAGACUGGUUUACAGUGUUUACACUAUCAAAGUUUUUGUGAUCACAGUAGGAAUUUUGGCAUGGCAGGGCCCUGGGUCAAUUUUGAAUAAGUUUGUUUUUGAAUAAGUUUGUUUGUUUGAGUAAGUUUUGAAGGAUUUGUAUAGGAAAUGUUUGAGGGAACUGACUCAGUCUCAGUGUUAAACAAUGAGUCGUUUCCCUAAAACAAUUCUUAUACAAAUCGUUUUUAGAAUUUACCCAUGCAAAAUUCCUACUGUUUGUGCGAUCACAGAAACUUUGAUAGCGUAAACCCAGCUUUUAUCAGGCUACCGUCAUGUAUAAUUAGUUCAUUCUUGCACAGUCAUGAAGUAUCUAUAGCGACAUUGACUGGUUCAUGCACAGGUUCAUGCGCGGGUACAAUACGUUCUCUUGAUAGACAGGAAAGGCGUGUAAAACAUCAUCCCUCCAACGCUGUCGAACAACUCUUCAGGAGAAAGUCAAGUUGUUCAGCGUUGGAGGGAUGUUUUACACGCCUUUCCUGUCCACCAACAGCACGUGACAAAAUAUUCUCCUUGAAAUAUUUCCUUGCCAUUUGCAGCGAUUUUCCUUGCCAAGUUCCACCAACACACUGUAAAUUUGAAGUAGUUGAAUCAACUCCAAAAACUGUUAUUCUGUCACCGUUUUGUCUACGUGUGCACUAAAUCAGUGCUCAAAAUCAAAUCCUUGGAUCGCUGGUCAUGUUGUCCCGUCACUUAAUUCGUGUGCUUUAAUUAAAAGAAUUUUCAGCCAUGCAUUUCAUAUAUAAAUCUAUAGAAUUGCCCAUUUUCUUACAGAAAACAGAAUCGGCGAUCGAUCGUUUUAUUAGGUAUUUUUAAGCAAUAGACAUUAGACAGUCAUUCCCAAUUUUCCCAUUACACUUUAUAGACUAAUUUUACUGUAAAACUAGGCAAGGAGAUGCAAAUAAAUCAUCACAGGCACAGCUAUAGAAAGACAUUGUAGAAAGAGCAUACUAAAAUAAGUAAAAUUGCAAGUUUGGUUAUACGAAAUGUUGUAAAAUACAGAAAUGUUUUCCGCAUUUUACAACAUUUCGCAACCAAUUAACUUUGCAAUUUUACUAAUCAGUUUUAGUAUAUGCUCCUUCCGGGAAUAUACUUUUUUUGACAAGAUAAAAAAAUAUAGUCUAUAAUGGGAAUUGUCUAUUCUGCUUUCCAAAGUACUGACACUUACUGCCACACUGCGCCAACACUCAAGUCGUAUAUAAUUGACAUUUCAGACGUGACUCAGAUUGAGCUUUUCUGGUGUCUUAUAUUUAGACACGAUGCAACGCGGAAAGCUUUUUAAGUAUUUAAGUAUCAUCUACCAUCCACUCCUUCCUUCAAAACUCUAAUUAUAUAUCAUUGCCGUAACGUAAGACCUUAAGACUGACGCGUUUACACCACAAAGCUAACAGCAUAUAGCCAAAGGGCAAACCUCAAAUCGCAUUUCAGUGAAGGUAAGUUCCACAACUGUUUGAAAGCUAUACGUAGGUAAUUUAUACUUCAGUGUUAAUGCACAAAUGACCCUAUAUAUACAUAAUUGUACAGCUAAUUGUUGAACUCAAAACACGUGGAUUUAUAUAGUUUGCCGUCUGUGGUUGGCAGUUAGAUCUGCCGUAAAACGCCAAUCUUAAUUAAUGUCUAUAUAUAAGCCUGGUUUCCAUAUGGUCGUAAAAAUAGAGUCACGAUCUUUCUCAACGGCCAGUUUAUAAUAGUUUAUAUCUGUAAAGUUGUAAGUAUUCUCUAGUGGUAAUCACUCCGCGUAUUUUCAGUUCUAUAAAAUGUUGCGGUAUUUCGGCUGAUGAGGAAGAUCGUCGCUCAAUCUCGUAUAUAUAAAGAUUGAGUCACGAUCUUCCUCCAUGCAUCAGCCGGUGAAAUACAACAUUCUAGAACUGAAAAUACGCGGAGUGAUAUAGAACUAUACAGAGAAUACUUAUGAUUUAUAUGUGGUUUACAGGUGUAAACUAUAUACUAUAAACUGGCCGUUGAGAAAGAUCGUGACUCUAUUUUUACGACUAUAUAUAAGGAGACCAGACUAUAGUCUAUGCUAGUACAUGGCAAUGAUAUGUAACUACUUAAGUCAAGACACUGAAGUCUUAUAAUAUACGUAUAUUCGUGUGUUAGUUUUCAUUGUUAAUUUUACAAAUUGCAAUGUGUAAAUAUGAAAUCUUCGGAUUGAUAUACGAAUGCAACUAUACCUGAAAAACUUUGAUACAAGGAGAACUUCGACGUUUCGAGCGAAGGCUCUUCGUUGGGAAGUUAUAGCCUUCGCUCGAGACUCGACAGUCCGACUCCUUGUUAUCGUAUUUUUCAUGUAGUUGCAUCCGUAUGACCUUAUCCGGCAAUCAUUUCUUAUUAUUGGAACUAUACCUACACUGGCACAUACCGUUCAAUGUGUAAAUACAUUUAGUAGAGGGCCACCGUUUCAGAUAAGUUUAAGCAGAUGAAUAAAUAAAAGUGACAAUAGCAAGCGUUCGUUUGUGGCGAUCGGUCAAAAACGGGUCGUGUCCGAGCAAAAACAUGUUUGAUCGGACGGGCACUGUUUGCUCGUGAUUUCAAACCCUGAACCAAAUCGUUUUAUCGGCUAAAAAUCAUUGAACGGUUUGAACAAGCUUUCUUUACAAUCGCACAUCACGUGCAGUUCUAAGAAGUUGCCAACUAAGACUAUGUAACUUGUAGAAUCUGGGUAUAAACAGAAGCAAAUAGAAGUAUAAAACUUAAGCCUGGUUUGUGUAAACCAUCAAAGUUUCUGUGAUGACAGUAGGAAUUUUGCAUAUAGAUAAAUCCCAAGUUUUGAAGGAUUUUGAAGAAAUGUUUGAGGGAACUAUAAUAAUAUAUAUAUAAUGAAUUUGUCACUUUGUAGUGUACAUGAUACAAACUAAUUAAAGACAAAUAAGGACAGAUUAAACAAAUCGUGACAGGGGAAAGAAACAGGACUCUCGUCCCAAUUGACCCCUAAAAGUGUUUAACACUAAGCCAGUUUCCUCAAACAUUUCUUACAAAUCCUUGUGUUCAAAACUUAGAAUUUACCCAUGCAAAAUUCCUUCCGUGAUAAUAGAAACUUUGGUAGUGUAAACCAGGCUUUAGAGAGACAACUACGAGGCAUAGUGUUUGAUUUAUCAAAGAUAGAUGACAGUCGUAAUACAAGUUAUUAACGAGAUAAAACUAGAUAUCACGCAGAAUGACGUGCAUGUAUUCAUGUCACUCAAAUAUAUAGUCACGCGAGAAGAAUUAGAUACCGCUCAUCAAACAAACCGUUUUAAAAUGUGUUCUUCAAGUCUCGUAUUUUAUACAUUUAUAUAAAAGAAAAUAUAUUUUGUACAAGCUGAUGAAAUCAACGUGAGUAUUUAGUUAUGAAUAAUACAAUGCAAACACUUGGAUAUUGCAUCGUAAAUGUACUCCAAUACUGAUUUCAGACCCCCUGCUGUUGUGAGGCAACGUGCGGUAACUAACAAAUAUAGAUCUAUAGCCUAAUUAACUUCAAUGACUGUAGGAUCUGUAGAUUUUAAAGUAUUCUUUGAGAUAUACUUAAGUUAUUAAAGACGGCCACCCCUGUGAUAUCUUACUCCAUGUACAUUCCUGAAUGUUCUUGAAAGGGAUAUUUGACGAGCACCAAUUAAUUCGAGUAUUUUAACCACAACCUUAUCAACUUCGACAUGAGAGAGGAAACCGUGUCAGUGGCGUGAAAAUGUAAGAGUCUUUCGAAGCAGGAAAACUAUAUUACACCACUAAUGAUAUUUUGAACGCUCAAGCUACCAAGGGAACAUGAUUCACCGAGUGAAUGAAGGCAGUUGUUGAGAAAAGGCAGUUCACAGCGACAGCUUACAUUCAAACGCAACACAUUCGAGUUCAACUAAGGUACAAAACCACUUCGGUAUUCGAUUUCAAAUCAAUAUACAAUCGUUAAAAAUGGCAAAGACAGUCUUUUCAAACGUACGUGGGGCCCCCUCGGGCCUCGGCACCUGAAAAUCAUGUGAGAAGAUAUUAAAAUUCGUUUAUAACCUAACCUCAAUGGACAAUGAUUCUUUCAAUAAGUUGCUAAAACGAAAAUAACCAAAGGCAAAGAUAAACAUUGACCCAAUGAAAACCGCCAGCAAAAUAGGAAACCGACACUCGAGUUUUCUGGCUCUUUUCCCUGCACUGUAGGGAGCCAAAAUAGUUUAUGUUUUGAUGACAAUGAAAGGGAAAUAUUUGAUGAAAGAUAUGUCCACGUGCCCAGAUUAUUCGUAACGAGCUUAAUUGGCCAAUUUAUAUUAAAUUGCUAACUCAUCCUAUUUUAAUUUCGUUUAUUUUAGGGAAAUGUCGUGAAGUUGGCAUGGUUUGAGAGAACGUGAGGCGACGGUGAAUUUCAAACGAGAAAUCAUUGUGUUCGGCAAAUGACCUAGUCGGAAUGUGAUUGGUUCAGAUAAGACACCCGGUGACCUUAACACCCGGUAUAAACUUGCGAUUGUACUUGAAGACGGACAGAUUUAGUUUCGAAUACCGGAUAUGUACACUUUAUAUUUUGCUGUAGUUUUCGUGACCCUGGCGUGGAGUUUAGCAGGCCAUUGGGAACCUAAUGAUUGCCCACAGCAGUGCACAUGUCUUAUGGAAGGCAUUUUAAGAAAAGUCUACUGCGACAUACAAGAUCAACAACAGCUUAAAACUAUCCCAAGUAGAUUUCCCGCAGAUUCGCAAUACAUCUCAUUGAAAGGAAAUCGAAUUUCAACCAUCCCUACAAGCGCGUUUUCAAAUCUACGAGAUCUACGCUACUUGGAUUUAGCGUCAAAUGAACUGGAAGGUUUACCACCAAAUAUAUUUCAAGGUUUAACCACCUUGGAGUCAUUGAACUUAUCUAGAAACAGACUGGGACAGUUACCUUCAGGCCUGUUACAUGGACUGGAUAACUUGCGAGAUUUAUAUCUUGAUGGUAAUGUUCUAGAAAAUCUACCUAAAGAUUUUUUUGAAGGAUUAACAUCACUACGAAGAUUAUAUUUGGAUAGUAAUAAUUUUUACACGUUGUCAGACAAGUUGUUUGGUUUGCGUGGAAUGGCGAUGAAUGAAAAAUCUCCUGCAAUAAUCAGUAAUCUCACGUCUCUGGUUGAACUCUUACUAAAUCACAACGGCAUUGGUCAAGUACAACAUGAUUCCUUCAACAGAAUGUCUGACCUUAGACGCUUGAAACUGAACGACAACAAUAUCACAACGCUACCUAGGGGAAUAUUUCGCGAUCUUAGAUCGUUGCGUUUAUUGUCGCUUUACAAAAAUCCAUUUCAGUGUACAUGCUCUUUAAAAUGGUUAAAAGAUUGGAUCGUUCAAAAUCAAAGAGAUGUUACAGUAUUUUAUCAACAUUUAAUACGAUGCGAGGGUCCUGCGAGGCUCCGUGGAAAAGGUUUACUGGAUGUUAAAGACAGUGAAUUCGGCUGUGAAGACGAAUGGAGUGAGUGGUCUAAUUGGGACAGCUGUUCAAAAGCUUGUAAUCAUGGAAGACAAAAUAGGAGUCGCCAAUGUAAAUCAGGCGUGUGUAAGGGUAGUGAUAUCGAAAGUAGGUGGUGUAACACACACAAGUGUGAGCUAGAGUGGAGCCCCUGGAGUGUAUGGACUCCAUGCAGUGUGACAUGUUCAGUUGGAUACCAAACACGAAGUCACUACACACAGUGUACUCAAUCACCAUGCAAACGAGUGCUCGAAUCUGAAGUAAGAGUAUGCCCUAGGAGACCUUGCCCUUCUUAUACUGAGUGGUCAUCAUGGUCUAUGUGUAACCCUCUGUGUGGACAAGGAAAACAAGUCCGCCAACGGGAAUGUGCCACCUCGCAUGUUGGGGUGGCAUGCCCUGCACCUAAAGUUGAAACCCAAGAUUGUAAAAUAAGAGAUUGUGCUGAAUGGACAAAAUGGGGCAUGUGGUCAGCGUGUAGUAAGAAUUGUUCAAAAGGAGAACGAACAAGAAAACGAGAUUGUGUAAUAGUACAUGGUUCAAAACAACAAUACUGUCCUGGAAAUGAUACUGACAAACAAGAAUGUCACAUCAAGGCAUGUCCUGUUGACGGCAGCUGGUCGUCAUGGUAUCCAUGGACAAGUUGUAGCAAAACAUGUGGAAUAGGAUUCAAUACAAGACACAGGCGAUGUUCUAAUCCAUAUCCACAACACGGCGGAGCGAAAUGCAACGGUUCAUCUUUUGAAGUUACACAAUGUGUCAGAGGGUUAUGCAAUGAUACGUCAGUAUUUACACCAUGGUCGGAAUGGAGCCCAUGUUCCAUACAAUGUGGGAGAGGGUUUAAAUCACGACGUAGGUCAUGCAAAAAACAAGAUCCUAAAACAAGUGCAUACAUGUGUUUGGGUAAGACUGAGGAAUAUCAAAACUGUGAGGGGAAAAUGUGUGCUGGUGUUUGGGAAGAGUGGACACUAUGGACCAAGUGUAAGGGAGGUUGCAACCAGGGGCAAACAUUUCGAUGGAGAUUUUGUGUUGGUGAUCAUGGUAGCGGGGGUUAUGUAUGUGCAAUGAAUAAGACUGUUGAUGUUCAAGGAAAGAAUUGUAAACCAUCAACAUGUAGUGAUGAACCACUGUGGUCGGGUUGGAGUGCCUGGUCUGCAUGUUCACGCAGUUGUGCUGGAGGUACGAAACGUCGUUGGCGGUAUUGUGUAACUAAAAUAAUUGGGAAACCUUGCCCUGGUAACCAAGAAAGUAAAUCACCAUGUAAUAUUGAGCCAUGUCCCAUACAUGGUGGAUGGAGCAUUUGGAGUGAGUGGGGCAAGUGUAGUGAGGUAUGUGAUGGAGGGAUAAAACAACGAAAUCGUACAUGUACUGAGCCGGUACCUCAGUACAAUGGUCAACAAUGUAUUGGAGACAGUAAAGACAAAACAAUAUGUAAUACACAUAGAUGCAGAGAUGGUAUCCAAGGUGAUAAACUGCUAUCAACAAUGAAAACACCUGAGGUUACAACAUCUGAGGUUAAAGAACCUGGAGUGAUACGAUUAGGUGAAAAAAUAAAUUGCCCCACACCAGAGAUGCCAAGGAAUGGUAAAUACACUAUGACAGAACAGAAAGAUCAACAUAAAUUUCUCGAGUAUAAAUGUGACGACUAUUAUCGCAAUCGUGGACAUAGUAACCUGCGCUACUGUUCAGAUGAUGGUAGAUGGUCUGGACAUGAUGCGGACUGUGUGCCAGAUUGCGGGGAAUUCAAGGCAAACCGAAAAGGAGCCAAUGAGAUCAAGAGUAUCAGAAAUAUGAUUGAUUUCUGGCCUUGGCAAGUUGCAAUAGAAGUACCAAUGAAAGGGAUUCAUUGCGGAGGUGCGCUAAUUGGAGAUCAGUGGGUUCUUACUGCUGCACAUUGUGUUCUUCCACGGGAGUCAUCGAAAUAUUAUGAAGAAAUUAAAGUCAUUUUAGGCACACAUAAUUUGACAGAUAAAAGUUCAAGAGAAGUACAGAUAAUACUUGUGAAUAAAACAGAACAUCACAAAGAUUUUGCAUGGAACCUCAAACACAGUGUCAAAUACGCAUCGGACAUCGCCAUUUUGAAAUUAGAAAGAAAAGUUCACAUAACAAAGUAUGUACAUCCAGUUUGUCUGCCAAAAAGAAGAAGAAAACAUUUAAUGCAUGCUGGGCAGAUGGGCGUGUUUGCUGGCUGGGGCGGGACACAAGAGCCUCACUUACUGCGACAAAUUCCACUGCCUGUAGUCAACCGUCAAGAGUGUCAAAGGUCUUACAAAAGAUACAAAUAUAGAGUCAAUGAAAAAAUGAUGUGUGCUGGCUACAAGAAGACAGCAGAUGGCAUAUGUAAGAAAGACAGUGGAGGUGGCUUUUUCUUUUUUGACAAUUCAAAACGAAGGAAACGUUGGGUAUUGGGUGGUAUUGCAAGCUGGCGAUUUCCUACAUGUAACGAAGAAGGCAAAUAUAGUGUCUUUACUGAUGUUACUAAACAUAUGAACUGGAUAAAAAAGAAGAUGGGUGAUUGGUAAUUAACUAUACAUUCAUAUAAUUAUAAAAAGUAUAUUAAUAUAUGACAUCGAAGAGGCCUGGUAUAUUACAAUCAAAAUUGGUUUUACAGUUUGCUACAUUACAUGUGAGAUCCAGGGGUGGAUCUAGCCUCAUUUGCAAGGAAGCGGUGCAGGUUUUUCCAUGGGGUUGUGCAUCAGGGAGCAUUACUGCCCGUUCUGUUACGCUAUAUUAUAUUUUAUAAAGUUUAUAUCGUGUUUGCAUGAACAGCUGCUGUUGCACAGUACAGUAAAGUAACUUUGCUUGUUGAAAGUAUGUUUUAUUUGAAAAUACUGCUAUAUAGCAAUCUCAACAUGACAGUACAUGUUUAACCAUGCUAUUUAACUAAAGCAUUUUGAGUAUUUUCUUGUGAGUUCACAAAUCAAUUGAAUCGUUUCAAGAAAUUGACAUGUACUCACAGCAUAAAUUUCACUAAACAAUAUUCAAAAAGCAGAAAAUGUAUUUGUCAAGCAGAUUUUUUAGGGUGGUGCUGGACACCACCCCCCUGCACCCCCAUGGUAGAUCCACCCCUGGUGAGAUCAAGUCAGUUUGAUCAUAAAUGUUUACUUCAAUUUAAAGGGAAAAAAUCUCACAGUCUUAUACUGUUAAGUACUGUAGUUACAGUAACAGUAACAGGGCUGCAAAAAAUAUUUUAUUUUCUGGGACCACAAGGCCAACAAAAAAAUUCUCUGUAAUCAAGGGACAGCAAAUUGUAUGGUUUUUAAAAUUUUAUCACAACUAAGGAAAAUUCAGUCCAUUCUAGACAAAUUCUAAACAUCAUUUCGGUCUUGAAAAUAGACCUUAUUCCAACGUGGCUACCAAAUAAAUAUUCUUUUAUGUUGUAAACAAGUCCUUAUGUAUUUUUCUUCAAUGUGUAUUUUUGUCUACAUGCAUGAUCUGCAGUAAAGUAAGUCACUAAAAUUAGUGAAAUACACUAACUUUCUUUCCUUUAAGACGUUUUAAAUUCUAUGGUUUUACCUUCCAUUUUUUUCUGCCAACCUCAAAAAUUUUCUUGGACCAAUGGUCCUGUGGUCCACUAUACUUUGCAGCCCUGUGCAGUAUGGCACAGGUUUGGGUAAAUACUCUAAGCAUCGAGUUGUAAAUAAUUUUGUACAAAAAUUAUCCUAACGCAAAAUUGGUUUUACAGUUUGCUACAUAAUAUGUAAGAUAAAGUCUGUUUAUUCAUCUCACAGUCUAUAUACUGUUGAAGUCACAGUUUUGCCAAACUUUUAAACUUGGCAAAAAUUUUCCAGAAAUCCUAUCUGGAUAUUCGAUAAAUAUUCUAUUUUAUGAAGUUAUAUGGCAAACCAUUGGCAAAGCUUGCCAUGGCAACUGGUCAUGCUAUGCCGAUAAACCUGCAUGCAUCUAAAUAGGUAAAGACAAUUAAUACAUAAUUUUUAAGGGUUUGAAUGAUGCAAAUCAUUAAAUAUUUGCAUAGCAUGACCUGUUGCCAUGGCUAGCUUUGCGACUGAAACAAACCAACAUGUGCAAAUUACCCAAAACAGCAGACAAUACUUUCUACGGUGUUAAAAAUAUAUAAAUUAAGUAUCUCAGAGAUAUAGAUAUGUAAAAUAUUUAUUACAAAAUUACAUUAUUUUAUAAAUAUUAAUUUAACUAAAGGCUUUAAAUGCUACAUUGUGGAUGUGGACUAACUGUGACUAAGGCUUUAUUUUGCUAAUUGAUGCAUCUUUUACCAUAGAUAUUUAUGCCCCCCCCCCCCUAUGGGCUCAGUUCCUUCAGGGGAGGGGGUUUGAGAGCAAUUUAGGGUUGGGCAAAGCUGACGUGGCCAAGCUCAAAGCAGCAAUCUCAUUGACCAAUCACUAGCUUCCAGAUCAAAUGCCUUUGCUUGUAACAUUGAAAUUUUGUUAUAACAUGAAAGCAAUGGAACUCAUAUAAAUCAAAAUGAGGAUAUUGCAUUAAUUACAAAAUGAAGAUAUGUCAAAAUUUGGAUUAAAAAAAUUUGGGCAAAAUGAGGAUAUGUGAAAAUUUUUCAGGGAAACAUUUUUAUAUUUUAUGGCAGUUAGGGCCAUUCUAUUUAAUAUCCACACCGCCCUACGGAUGAGGUCAGUAAAAUUUUAACCCCUAAGAAAAAAAAAAUCAAAGUGCCGACACAAAACACCCCUCAGAAAUUUAUAAAUUUUCCCCUUACCCCUCAGAAAAAUCGCAGAGAUCAAAGGAUGCCGACAUGCUUAACCCCUCAGAAACGACUUUGAGUCACCCUUCAGAAAAACUCAUCCGUAGGGGGGGGGGGGUGGACAUUAAAUGGAAUGGCCCUUAGCCCCUCCAAAAUAUAAACUGUUCUGCCGUCAUUGUUCCCCAGUGCAUACUAUUUAUAGGAGCCAAAAAAGUCGAUGGUAGUUAGCAUUAUUCUUAUUAGAGAUUAGCUGAUUAAUUGGCAAAAUAAUUGGCUCUUAUCAUGUUAUGACAUCUGCCUUGGUUUACAUAGAUAAAAAUUUUAUCUCUGAUAUAUCAAAAAGAUAUCAACCAAAUAUAUAUAUCCAUC